UAAGGAAUAUUGGUCAAUGGACGCAAGUCUGAACCAGCCAUGCCGCGUGAAGGAUUAAGGUCCUCUGGAUUGUAAACUUCUUUUAUCUGGGACGAAAAAAGGCGAUUCUUCGUCACUUGACGGUACCAGAUGAAUAAGCACCGGCUAACUCCGUGCCAGCAGCCGCGGUAAUACGGAGGGUGCAAGCGUUAUCCGGAUUCACUGGGUUUAAAGGGUGCGUAGGCGGGCAGGUAAGUCAGUGGUGAAAUCCUAGAGCUUAACUCUAGAACUGCCAUUGAUACUAUCUGUCUUGAAUAUUGUGGAGGUAAGCGGAAUAUGUCAUGUAGCGGUGAAAUGCUUAGAUAUGACAUAGAACACCUAUUGCGAAGGCAGCUUACUACGCAUAUAUUGACGCUGAGGCACGAAAGCGUGGGGAUCAAACAGGAUUAGAUACCCUGGUAGUCCACGCCCUAAACGAUGAUUACUCGACAUUUGUGAUACACUAUAAGUGUCUGAGCGAAAGCAUUAAGUAAUCCACCUGGGAAGUACGACCGCAAGGUUGAACUUAAAUGAAUUGACGGGGUCAUAGCUG
rnacentral:rRNA from 1 species